rnacentral:rRNA from 1 species
UAGUCCACGCCGUAAACGAUGUCAACUAGCCGUUGGGGGGUUACCCUUUAGUGGCGCAGCUAACGCGAUAAGUUGACCGCCUGGGGAGUACGGUCGCAAGAUUAAAACUCAAAGGAAUUGACGGGGGCCCGCACAAGCGGUGGAGCAUGUGGUUUAAUUCGAUGCAACGCGAAGAACCUUACCUACCCUUGACAUUGACAGAAUCCUGUAGAGAUACGGGAGUGCCUUCGGGCCUGGAAAACAGGUGCUGCAUGGCUGUCGUCAGUUCGUGUCGUGAGAUGUUGGGUUAAGUCCCGCAACGAGCGCAACCCUUGUCUUUAGUUGCCAUCAUUAAGUUGGGCACUCUAAAGAGACUGCCGGUGUCAAACCGGAGGAAGGUGGGGAUGACGUCAAGUCCUCAUGGCCUUUAUGAUCAGGGCUACACACGUACUACAAUGGCCGGUACAAAGGGCAGCGACACAGCGAUGUGAAGCUAAUCUCGUAAAGCCGGUCUCAGUCCGGAUUGGAGUCUGCAACUCGA